UACUAGCUCUCCGAGUGGUGUGGAUGUUUAUUGGGCCUAAAGCAUCCGUAGCUGACUGGACAAGUCCCCUGUUAAAUCCACCGAUUUAAUCGUUGGUGUGCGGGGGAUACUGUUCGGCUAGGGGACGGGAGAGGCCGACGGUAUUUCCGGGGUAGGGGUGAAAUCCUAUAAUCCCGGGAAGACCACCAGUGGCGAAGGCUGUCGGCUAGAACGCGCCCGGCGGUGAGGGAUGAAAGCUGGGGGAGCGAACCGGAUUAGAUACCCGGGUAGUCCCAGCUGUAAACGAUGCAGGCUAGGUGUUUGGGCGGCCACGUGCCGCUCUAGUGCCGCAAGGAAGCUGUUAAGCCUGCCGCCUGGGGAGUACGGCCGCAAGGCUGAAACUUAAAGGAAUUGGCGGGGAGCACCACAAGGGGUGAAGCUUGCGGUUU
rnacentral:rRNA from 1 species